UGGGGAAUAUUGGACAAUGGGCGCAAGCCUGAUCCAGCAAUGCCGCGUGUGUGAAGAAGGCCUUCGGGUUGUAAUGCACUUUUAUCUGGAGCGAAAACUACAGGGCUAAUACCCAUGCAGUCUGACGGUACCAGCGGAAUAAGCACCGGCUAACUCCGUGCCAGCAGCCGCGGUAAUACGGAGGGUGCAAGCGUUAUCCGGAAUUACUGGGUGUAAAGCGGGUGUAGGCGGAUUAUUAAGUCAGAGGUGAAAUCGCCAGGCUCAACCUGGAAACUGCAAUUCAAACUGGUAGGCUUGAAUAUAGUAGAGGGGGGCGGAAUGGGUUAUGUAGCGGUGAAAUGCAUAGAGAUGAGAAGGAACACCGGUGGCGAAGGCAGCCAACUAGGCAAGGAUUGACGCUGAGGCACGAAAGCGGGGGGAUCAAACA
rnacentral:rRNA from 1 species